AGGAGGAAGUAACUUAUGCGUCUGUCCAAAUCAAACCAACAACCAAAGGGUCUCAGGUCACAGCACAGCUAAACCAAGUUCCUCAGUCUGAUGAAGUGUUAGAUGAAGGAGGAGUGACUUAUGCAUCUGUGGGCAUCAAACCCAAAGGAUCACCCAAACAGCGAGUCCACACUGAGCAGCAGGAGGACGAUUCUGUGAUCUACAGCGCUGUGAAAAAGGCCUGAUGAUGUUUCCACACCUCAUUCACCCACAGCGCAGAUGAGUUUUAUUUACUUAUCAUCAUAAGACCUGGGAUUUUUCCCCCCAAGCAUGAAACUCAUUAUGAUUUAAGACGUGCUAAUAUCAUAAGAAGUGUCAGUGUAUUUACU